GACGAACGCUGGCGGCGUGCCUAAUACAUGCAAGUAGGACGCAGUUGCGAACGGGUGAGUAACGCGUAGGUAACUACCUAUUAGAGGGGGAUAACUAUUGGAAACGAUAGCUAAUACCGCAUACUAGUAGAUGGACCUGCGUUGUAUUAGCUAGUAGGUAGGGUAAUGGCCUACCUAGGCAACGAUACAUAGCCGACGUGGGAGGGUGAUCUGGCAAAAUGGGACUGAGACACGGGGCAGACUCCUACGGGGGGCAGCAGGAGGGGAACGUCGGCAAAGGGGGGAACCCUGACCGGGCAACGGCGCGUUAGUGAAGAAGGUUUUCGGGUCGGAAAGCUCUGUUGUUAAGGAAGCGGUACUUAACCAGGAAGGGACGGCUAACUACGUGCCAGCAGCCGCGGUAAUAC
rnacentral:rRNA from 1 species